UCUCUCGCUCGCUUGUAGUCGUCCCGUCGCGUUCGUUCGGUCAAGAUGGAAUUAUUCCAUCUUGCGUACGGUGAUGUACAUCGUCCAGUGUUCGUGUUCGCGAGUUAAAGGACGUACUUUUUUUCGUGGUCGUAGUUGUUGCACGUAUCUGCUGUCUUGGAUCGUCCGUGUGAGUGGCUACUCGUAGAUGAUAUUAGUUCGUAUCGGUGAUGUGCAUUCAGAUUCACAUUGCAAAUGAUCGAACUGGUCUAGUCGUCUGGAAGGUGGAAAUAAACGCUGGGUGGUUUUCCUGUUACAUCUCUUAAAAAAACAACUUUUUUUUCCACCCUUGAACUGAUAUUUAGAUAGGAUUCAUCGUGCUUAUAUUUUGGGGGUUAAGAGCAAACUCUGUUUGAUGUGUCCUGGAUAAUUAUUUUGGACGGUUAUCCUCAAGUCUACACCAAUGGAAAUGAUUUAAUUGAAAAUGACCUUCAGAGUUUAAAGGUAUGACCUGAUUACUUUGAUGGUGCUAAGCUUCAAAUGUUAUUAUGGAUAUCUCUUGGGUCCCAAAAUCUGGAUACUAAAACGAGUGACAUCCUAGGAGUUCCAGAGAUUCCUGGGGACUGGUGGGAAACGUACGCAGCAGCAGCAGCUGUGAUGGUGUGCGGGCCCUCAGAUGCUAUUUCAUGGAUACCCCCUUGGAUCUCUCAAAACAUAUAUAUAGGCCUUUGAAGCAGUCUUAGAUGAGAACAACAAAUUUGGCUUUUAAAAGUGGUAAACUUUUAUCUUUAACAUGAACAUUCAGUCUGCAUGACUUGAAAAUAAUGGAAAUGAUGGUAAUUCGUUGUCUUCGAUGAUUUGUCUGACGAAGCUUGAUUAGAAAUGAACGAGGAAGGAGAUUAAGGUAAUUAAUCCUCAAUAUCUUUUUGAGGUCUUUUGAUAAUGCUAAGGAUCUAAAUUUUUAACAUCUGUGUAUUGCCUCUUGGGAUGCCUAAAAGGCCUGUUAUAAAUAGACGAGGGAACCUUAAAGAAACUUGUGGUUUGCUUUUUGGGAUGGGUGAAAUGAUGCCAUGUCUUUUGUCAGAUUUACAGUUAAUAAAAAAGGAAAUGCU